AGUCGAGCGAACAGACGAGGAGCUUGCUCCUCUGACGUUAGCGGCGGACGGGUGAGUAACACGUGGAUAACCUACCUAUAAGACUGGGAUAACUUCGGGAAACCGGAGCUAAUACCGGAUAAUAUAUUGAACCGCAUGGUUCAAUAGUGAAAGACGGUUUUGCUGUCACUUAUAGAUGGAUCCGCGCCGCAUUAGCUAGUUGGUAAGGUAACGGCUUACCAAGGCAACGAUGCGUAGCCGACCUGAGAGGGUGAUCGGCCACACUGGAACUGAGACACGGUCCAGACUCCUACGGGAGGCAGCAGUAGGGAAUCUUCCGCAAUGGGCGAAAGCCUGACGGAGCAACGCCGCGUGAGUGAUGAAGGUCUUCGGAUCGUAAAACUCUGUUAUUAGGGAAGAACAAAUGUGUAAGUAACUAUGCACGUCUUGACGGUACCUAAUCAGAAAGCCACGGCUAACUACGUGCCAGCAGCCGCGGUAAUACGUAGGUGGCAAGCGUUAUCCGGAAUUAUUGGGCGUAAAGCGCGCGUAGGCGGUUUUUUAAGUCUGAUGUGAAAGCCCACGGCUCAACCGUGGAGGGUCAUUGGAAACUGGAAAACU
rnacentral:rRNA from 1 species